ACUAAACAAUGAAAAAUUCUACAACUUGGCUGAAAGAAAUAGUUGUUUCCUAGUCCAGCCUCUCUCACACCUGUUAUUAAAAUACACUAAUACUGUAUAACGCAUCCAAUUCAUAUAAAACUGUACAUAUAAAUAACUAAAACGAUUAUAACUCUAUAAAUAACGGUGCAUAAUCUCAUACAGUAUGCCCUUAAUGUAAUCAAAAUGUCCUUGCCAAUCUAGCUCACCCCUUCCCAAAGGCUCACCUUCCCCCUCGGCAUAAUAAAUUCCUCUUCCCUUUUGGGCUCCCCACCAGCCGGCUUUUAGCUCGGUGGGGACACGUCCAACCUGGUACCCCUUACGGUUUACCAUAAGAGACAGGGGAGGAUGAGGCCCGGCCAUUAUCCCUUUACUUAUCUACCUGCUAACCAUCUCCCACCUUAUUUGGCAAGGAUAUGCCCCCUGCCUAGCUGUGACAACACCCCGAGCCCAAAUUACAAAGUGAGGGUGGGCGUUAAACUGUUGCUGGCCCGGAUACUAAGUGACACUGAGGUCAGCUUAAUUUGUCACCAACCCCUUCCUCACAUCCAACACUUCCACACAUAACAAGCAGCCAUUCAUGUUUCCUCCAUUCCCACACUCAUACAUGUGCCCUUGUCUGCUAAGCUGCACACUCUCCCUGGGGCCUAAUAUAGUAAAAUAGAGAGUCUGAGGCCACAGAUUGCGAACGUGUGCCUGAGUUAUGAGCAAAGCACCAAAAUCCACAGGCACUCCAGGGCUGUAAUUCUAAA